GGUUCUAUAGCUUAAUAGUAAAGCCUCAUUUUGUCACAAUGAAAGAUGCCUGUUCAAAUCGGGUUGGAAUCG
rfam:Pachysolen tannophilus NRRL Y-2460 unplaced genomic scaffold PACTA_scaffold_10, whole genome shotgun sequence.